UCCUACGGGGGGCAGCAGUGAGGAAUAUUGGUCAAUGGGCUAAGGCCUGAACCAGCCAAGUCGCGUGAGGGAAGACGGUCCUAUGGAUUGUAAACCUCUUUUGUCGGGGAGCAACGAGGCCACGUGUGGCCGAAGUGAGAGUACCCGAAGAAAAAGCAUCGGCUAACUCCGUGCCAGCAGCCGCGGUAAUACGGAGGAUGCGAGCGUUAUCCGGAUUUAUUGGGUUUAAAGGGUGCGCAGGCGGCCUGUUAAGUCAGCGGUAAAAGCCCGGGGCUCAACCCCGGCGAGCCGUUGAAACUGGCGGG
rnacentral:rRNA from 1 species